rnacentral:lncRNA from 1 species
GAGGAGUUGAACAAUAUUCUGAUUGAACACAUUUAUCUUAAUCUUCAAAGCACAGCCCUUUUUCUUCAUCAUCAUCUGUAGAAUCUGCAUAGGACUCGACGGUGUUAUAUAUGAAAGAGUACAGCUUGACUUCUGGUCCUGAAGUAGAACAGGUUCUGCAUUCUUCAUUGUAGUAUCUGAGUAGCAGCCUAUAAAUGUCCCCAACAGUUUGGUUCUUCUCACAGAGAAAAGUAUGCAUACUGUAAAUAUCUCGCAUCAGCUCCACAUCUCCAAAGGUAAAAUAAACAAUAUCACGUCCAGACUCAGCAGCUGCCAAUAUCUGUAUUAAGGCUUUCAAUCUGGAGUCCCCUCCAAAGGCACCACAUCCCCAGUUUCCUGUGGCUAUUGCAGAGAGAUUUUGCGGUGGAACGUUGGGUCUAGAGAAGCCACAGUAGGCCUUGUUGAGCUCUCUUCUAAUUUUCUCCGGGCCAAACUGAUCAAGGAAACGUCUGAAGUGAAAAGCAUCUAUGGCAACAAUUUCAGUGUAGCGCCGCUGCCACUCAUCCCUUGGGGUCUUAUCUUCAUGGCUUCUUGCCCACCGGUAAGUUUCUGCAUAACCUGUAUACUCACUGUACUGUUCAGUACCUGUGAUGAUAAGACAUUCAUUGUGAUCCAAUACUUCAGUGAUGAGCCUUGAUACAAUCAGCUCUGGGUUGAUUAAAAACCGAAUUUCUUCUUGUACUAGUCCUGCCCCGGUGACACCACCGCCAACAAAACGGUUUGCAAAAUCAACCUUGUCCAUUGC